AAAUUGAAGAGUUUGAUCAUGGCUCAGAUUGAACGCUGGCGGCAGGCCUAACACAUGCAAGUCGAACGGUAACAGGAAGCAGCUUGCUGUUUCGCUGACGAGUGGCGGACGGGUGAGUAAUGUCUGGGAAACUGCCUGAUGGAGGGGGAUAACUACUGGAAACGGUAGCUAAUACCGCAUAACGUCGCAAGACCAAAGAGGGGGACCUUCGGGCCUCUUGCCAUCGGAUGUGCCCAGAUGGGAUUAGCUAGUAGGUGGGGUAACGGCUCACCUAGGCGACGAUCCCUAGCUGGUCUGAGAGGAUGACCAGCCACACUGGAACUGAGACACGGUCCAGACUCCUACGGGAGGCAGCAGUGGGGAAUAUUGCACAAUGGGCGCAAGCCUGAUGCAGCCAUGCCGCGUGUAUGAAGAAGGCCUUCGGGUUGUAAAGUACUUUCAGCGGGGAGGAAGGGAGUAAAGUUAAUACCUUUACUCAUUGACGUUACCCGCAGAAGAAGCACCGGCUAACUCCGUGCCAGCAGCCGCGGUAAUACGGAGGGUGCAAGCGUUAAUCGGAAUUACUGGGCGUAAAGCGCACGCAGGCGGUUUGUUAAGUCAGAUGUGAAAUCCCCGGGCUCAACCUGGGAACUGCAUCU
rnacentral:rRNA from 1 species